rnacentral:rRNA from 1 species
AUGAACGCUGGCGGCGUGCCUAAUACAUGCCGGUCGAGCGAACAGACGAGGAGCUUGCUCCUCUGACGUUAGCGGCGGACGGGUGAGUAACACGUGGAUAACCUACCUAUAAGACUGGGAUAACUUCGGGAAACCGGAGCUAAUACCGGAUAAUAUAUUGAACCGCAUGGUUCAAUAGUGAAAGACGGUUUUGCUGUCACUUAUAGAUGGAUCCGCGCCGCAUUAGCUAGUUGGUAAGGUAACGGCUUACCAAGGCGACGAUGCGUAGCCGACCUGAGAGGGUGAUCGGCCACGCUGGAACUGAGACACGGUCCAGACUCCUACGGGAGGCAGCAGUAGGGAAUCUUCCGCAAUGGGCGAAAGCCUGACGGAGCAACGCCGCGUGAGUGAUGAAGGUCUUCGGAUCGUAAAACUCUGUUAUUAGGGAAGAACAAAUGUGUAAGUAACUAUGCACGUCUUGACGGUACCUAAUCAGAAAGCCACGGCUAACUACGUG